GAUGAAGAACGCAGCGAAAUGCGAUAAGUAAUGUGAAUUGCAGAAUUCAGUGAAUCAUCGAAUCUUUGAACGCACAUUGCGCCCACCAGCAUUCUGGCGGGCAUGCCUGUUCGAGCGUCAUUUCAACCCUCGAGCCCCCCCGGGGGCCUCGGUGUUGGGGGACGGCACACCAGCCGCCCCCGAAAUGCAGUGGCGACCUCGCCGCAGCCUCCCCUGCGUAGUAGCACACACCUCGCACCGGAGCGCGGAGACGGUCACGCCGUAAAACGCCCAACUUCUUAGAGUUGACCUCGGAUCAGGUAGGAAUACCCGCUGAACUUAAGCAUAUCAAUAAGCGGAGGA
rnacentral:misc_RNA from 1 species